GGGUGAAUAGCCAUGCAGAAAGCAGAUUAGUAUAACCAUAUUAGUCCAUGCCCUUGAUCCUCAGAGCGAGAAGAUGAAACCAGCAAACAAAAGCAUUGAAGAGACAGUUCAACUUUUGGGUGAACUAUCUCUUCAAAAUGAACGAUUUGAAUGCCCAUGCUCAAAGGAAUAUAACACCAACCGGGCAUAAUGGAGAUGAUAAUCGUAACUGGAACUGGCAUCUGCUGAUUCCUAUUGCUGGAUUAGCAUUAUAUCAAUGGCACACACGACAAAGCAUGAGAAAGGAGUUUGAUGGUUGGAGGCGAAGCAUUGAGAGAGACAGAAGGGAGGACAAAGCCAUGGCUGUGAUACAUGAGAUCCGCAGGUUAUUAUACGCUAGACAGGAAAUCAUUUGCAGCAAUUCUCUUCCCUAUUUCGCUCAAGGGACAAGAGAGGAAGAGUUAAUAAACAUGGCGACUAGUGAGCCUAUAGCACUUGAGCUCAAUAUAAGGGCUGAUCUCACAAAAAUUUUCCAGCAUUCUACGCCCUGCUCAAGAGCCAUGAUAAACAAAUAUGUUGAAGACUGGCAGAGUAGUGUUAAGAGUACUCUUAACAACAAAGAUUAAUUAAAAUAGAAAUGGGCUGCUGGACAUUCUCAUAGUUAUCUCUAAAUGUUUGAUCAGCAUGGGGUAGCAUUUGUGUUCAAAAUGGACCUUUAAAUUGAAGUGGUUGUACAGAAUAAAGUGACUUUGGCCUAACCCUGGGUUCAGGGGCGGAUCUAGAAAAAUAUUUAUGGGGUGGCGAGAGGGGGGCAGGAAUUUUUGAGGGGUGGCAACAUAUGGCAGACUUAUAUAUACUUAAUUUAAUCACGUUUAUCACAGUUUGAUGAGAAAUAGUAUGUACACACUACAAAAGGGCACAGGCUGCCAUUUACAAACUCAUACAGACAAACUUAAUCUCAUGCAAUCAAUGUCUUGCAUUUGAGGUUUCAUGUGAAACAGUUCAUAUUAGGAAUAAGUGACCAUACAAUGUGAUCUCACUUAAUAGGAGAUAGAAGUAUGUUUGAAGUAAGGGCAUUAUCACCGGAAAGGCAAUAAGUCUCUUGCCGCUCUGGCGUCAUCUCGUGCUGCAUUCAGUACAGUCGGACAUUGGAGAUUCGUGCUCGUAAAUUGUCAAAUUGGCCAUAACUUUUAAUCCAGAUGGCAGCAGGGGUGGCAAGGUAUUCUUUUAGGGUGGCAUUUGCCACCCUAUGCCACCCCGGUAGAUCCGCCCCUGCCUGGGUUAUGGUCCUUUUAAACCCGGCUUUUAACUAAAAGCGGGGUUUAAAAUGACCAUAACCCAGGGUUAGGCCAAAGUCACUUUAAGGCAAGUCAGUCCACUCUAUUUUCUAUGUAUACAAGUGGCUCUUAUGUACUUUAACGGGGAAAGAUGGAAAUAUCCAAAUUGGUUAAUCAAGAGUAUAGCCUAUUUCAGAUUAACAGUAAAAUCUGAAUGUAGUGGUGUCAUAAAAUGUGAUUCUUUAACUCGUAGUAUCAUGCUAAAAAAUGCUAUUUUCAGGCUGGUCCAGCUAAAGCGCAUAGCUACACGUUCUUUCUGGAGUUGACUGACAGGCUAGUUCUGUAUCUGAAAGGUAAUUGGCUUUAUUUACCUGUAAAGAUGGACUUCCUUUUCUAUAUCCGCCAUAUUUGGUGUUACAAUUUCUCCGAUUCAUUUCAUAAUGUGCCUCCUUGGGCUUAAUAGCCACUGGUUAAACGCAGUGUGAAAAAUCACUAAAGCAUUUCCAUUGGGAGAAAAAGGAUUCUCGUUGAUUUGAUGUGGAUGUUCUUGCACAAGCACUGCAUACAUUUUUUGCGACAAAAGAAAGUAUCUGUUUUUAUUAUUCCAAACACCAGCCAAAGAGGUUUAUAUGUUCCAUUUGACCACUAGAGGGAACUCUUUACCAAAAACUGAACCUCUUCAUUGAACGGCCUCCUCUGUAAUUCCAUUGCUACAACACUUAAAACUGCAGUACACUGAAUGUUAUAUACUCCUGCUGAUAAUAAUAAUAAAAACAUUUUUUAUCUUAAUAAUCAUUAGAACUUGUCUUGUUCAUUCUCAAUGUUACAGCUUAGGAAAGCCUGCUUGUGUUAUUUUUAAUUGGGAGGGGAGUGUGUCUCUGGACGUGCUGGGAUGCUCUAUGAAUGUGCAUACACUUCAUUACAAUUAUAUGGCUUAUGCAUUGCUACAUUUGUAUGCUUAGUCCUACUCAGAAUACUUUGUAUACUGCAAGUCUAACUUAUGUCUAAA